GUAUAUGAGGUGAUUAAUUGGAGGACAAAUCGAGUGCCAGCAGCCGCGGUAAUACUUGUUCCAAGAGUGUGUAUGAUGAUUGAUGCAGUUAAAAAGUCCGUAGUUUAUUAUUAAGAAGCAAUAUGAGGUGUACUGUAUAGUUGGGAAAGAGAUGAAUUGUGACGUCCCUGACUGGACGAACUGAAGCGAAAGCUGUACACUUGUAUGUAUUUUUUGAACAAGGACGUAAGCUGGAGGAUCGAAGAUGAUUAGAUACCAUUGUAGUUCCAGCAGUAAACUAUGCCGACGAUGUGAUAUGAGAUGUUGUAUUACAUUAUAGAAAUUAGAGUUUUUGGCUCUGGGGAUAGUAUGAUCGCAAGAUUGAAAAUUAAAGAAGUUGACGGAAGAAUACCACAAGGAGUGGAUUGUGCGGCUUAAUUUGACUCAACGCGAGGUAACUUACCAAUAUUUUAUUGUUCGGCGAGGAUAUGAUCUGAGG
rnacentral:rRNA from 1 species